rnacentral:rRNA from 1 species
CAGGCUUCACACAUGCAAGUCGAGGGGCAGCAUGGUCUUAGCUUGCUAAGACUGAUGGCGACCGGCGCACGGGUGAGUAACACGUAUCCAACCUGCCGUCUACUCUUGGACAGCCUUCUGAAAGGAAGAUUAAUACAAGAUGGCAUCAUGAGUCCGCAUGUUCACAUGAUUAAAGGUAUUCCGGUAGACGAUGGGGAUGCGUUCCAUUAGAUAGUAGGCGGGGUAACGGCCCACCUAGUCUUCGAUGGAUAGGGGUUCUGAGAGGAAGGUCCCCCACAUUGGAACUGAGACACGGUCCAAACUCCUACGGGAGGCAGCAGUGAGGAAUAUUGGUCAAUGGGCGAGAGCCUGAACCAGCCAAGUAGCGUGAAGGAUGACUGCCCUAUGGGUUGUAAACUUCUUUUAUAAAGGAAUAAAGUCGGGUAUGGAUACCCGUUUGCAUGUACUUUAUGAAUAAGGAUCGGCUAACUCCGUGCCAGCAGCCGCGGUAAUACGGAGGAUCCGAGCGUUAUCCGGAUUUAUUGGGUUUAAAGGGAGCGUAGAUGGAUGUUUAAGUCAGUUGUGAAAGUUUGCGGCUCAACCGUAAAAUUGCAGUUGAUACUGGAUAUCUUGAGUGCAGUUGAGGCAGGCGGAAUUCGUGGUGUAGCGGUGAAAUGCUUAGAUAUCACGAAGAACUCCGAUUGCGAAGGCAGCCUGCUAAGCUGCAACUGACAUUGAGGCUCGAAAGUGUGGGUAUCAAACAGGAUUAGAUACCCUGGUAGUCCACACGGUAAACGAUGAAUACUCGCUGUUUGCGAUAUACGGCAAGCGGCCAAGCGAAAGCGUUAAGUAUUCCACCUGGGGAGUACGCCGGCAACGGUGAAACUCAAAGGAAUUGACGGGGGCCCGCACAAGCGGAGGAACAUGUGGUUUAAUUCGAUGAUACGCGAGGAACCUUACCCGGGCUUAAAUUGCAGAUGAAUUACGGUGAAAGCCGUAAGCCGCAAGGCAUCUGUGAAGGUGCUGCAUGGUUGUCGUCAGCUCGUGCCGUGAGGUGUCGGCUUAAGUGCCAUAACGAGCGCAACCCUUGUUGUCAGUUACUAACAGGUUCCGCUGAGGACUCUGACAAGACUGCCAUCGUAAGAUGUGAGGAAGGUGGGGAUGACGUCAAAUCAGCACGGCCCUUACGUCCGGGGCUACACACGUGUUACAAUGGGGGGUACAGAGGGCCGCUACCACGCGAGUGGAUGCCAAUCCCAAAAACCUCUCUCAGUUCGGACUGGAGUCUGCAACCCGACUCCACGAAGCUGGAUUCGCUAGUAAUCGCGCAUCAGCCACGGCGCGGUGAAUACGUUCCCGGGCCUUGUACACACCGCCCGUCAAGCCAUGGGAGCCGGGGGUACCUGAAGUGCGUAACCGCGAGGAGCGCCCUAGGGUAAAACUGGUGACUGGGGCUAAGU